UACGAAGGGGGCUAGCGUUGCUCGGAAUUACUGGGCGUAAAGCGCACGUAGGCGGCUUUCUAAGUCUUGGGUGAAAUCCUGGAGCUCAACUCCAGAACUGCCUUCGAUACUGGAGAGCUUGAGUCCGGGAGAGGUGAGUGGAACUGCGAGUGUAGAGGUGAAAUUCGUAGAUAUUCGCAAGAACACCAGUGGCGAAGGCGGCUCACUGGCCCGGUACUGACGCUGAGGUGCGAAAGCGUGGGGAGCAAACAGG
rnacentral:rRNA from 1 species